rnacentral:rRNA from 1 species
GGAUUAGAUACCCUGGUAGUCCACGCCGUAAACGAUGUCUACUAGCCGUUGGGGGGCUUGUCCCUUUAGUGGCGCAGCUAACGCGAUAAGUAGACCGCCUGGGGAGUACGGUCGCAAGAUUAAAACUCAAAGGAAUUGACGGGGGCCCGCACAAGCGGUGGAGCAUGUGGUUUAAUUCGAUGCAACGCGAAGAACCUUACCAGGUCUUGACAUCCUGAGAACUUACUAGAGAUAGUUUGGUGCCUUCGGGAACUCAGUGACAGGUGCUGCAUGGCUGUCGUCAGCUCGUGCCG